rnacentral:rRNA from 1 species
GACGAGCCUCACAAACGUUAUUCGGAAUUACUGGGCUUAAAGGGUGCGUAGGCGGCGCGGAAAGUUGGGUGUGAAAUCCCUCGGCUCAACCGAGGACUGCGCCCAAAACUGCCGUGCUCGAGGAAGAUAGAGGUGAGCGGAACUUACGGUGGAGCGGUGAAAUGCGCAGAUAUCAGGAGGAACACCGGUGGCGAAGGCGGGUCUCUGGGCCGAUACUGACGCUGAGGAGCGAAAGCGUGGGGAGCAAACAGG